rnacentral:misc_RNA from 1 species
UUAAGUUCAGCGGGUAGUCCUACCUGAUUUGAGAUCAAACGUUCAAAAAGCUGUCUCUCACAGAGGGGAGACAUUUAUGAGCCCCAGCGAACCUCCAUUGCUGAAGGUUACCUGGUGGGGAGACCACAAGCGUAGAUAGUUAUCACACCUGUGACGCCACCAAACACUGGCAAGCUGAUUUGUUUGAGAGGAGCCGACCA